GCCCCCCGGCCCGGGAUAGCCCAGGGAAACCUGGAUUAAUACCGGAUGAGACGGGACCUGCGAUGGCGGGAUCCGGGAAAGGCGCUACGGCGCCGCCGGGGGAUGAGUCUGCGUCCCAUUAGCUAGACGGCGGGGUAACGGCCCACCGUGGCGACGAUGGGUAGCCGGCCUGAGAGGGUCGACGGCCACAUUGGAACUGAGACACGGUCCAGACUCCUACGGGAGGCAGCAGCUAAGAAUCUUCCGCAAUGGGCGAAAGCCUGACGGAGCCGACGCCGCGUGAACGAAGAAGGCCGUGAGGUUGUAAAGUUCUUUUCGGGAGGGGAACAACCGUGGCAGGGAAUGGCCGCGGGAUGACGUGAAUCCCGGAAUAAGCCCCGGCUAACUACGUGCCAGCCGCCGC
rnacentral:rRNA from 1 species